rnacentral:rRNA from 1 species
UACGAAGGGGGCUAGCGUUGCUCGGAAUUACUGGGCGUAAAGCGCACGUAGGCGGAUUGUUAAGUCGGGGGUGAAAUCCUGGAGCUCAACUCCAGAACUGCCUUCGAUACUGGCGAUCUAGAGUCCGGGAGGAGGUGAGUGGAACUGCGAGUGUAGAGGUGAAAUUCGUAGAUAUUCGCAAGAACGACCAGUGGCGGAAGG